AUGGGAGUUGUGAGGAUACGGUUUUAUAAUUCCUUGAAUAUGUCCCAUCUCCCUUAUCCUACUACAUAUGUAUGAUGUAUGUUUGUUUAGAACGUUUUAUAUAUACAUGGAAACUAUUCAUUGUGUCACCUCUUUAUACAGGUAAAAGAAAUAUAACAUAAUUUUUUA